UACGUAGGGUGCAAGCGUUAAUCGGAAUUACUGGGCGUAAAGCGUGCGCAGGCGGUUUUGUAAGUUUGUCGUGAAAUCCCCGGGCUCAACCUGGGAAUUGCGUUGGAGACUGCAAGGCUAGAAUCUGGCAGAGGGGGGUAGAAUUCCACGUGUAGCAGUGAAAUGCGUAGAGAUGUGGAGGAACACCGAUGGCGAAGGCAGCCCCCUGGGUCAAGAUUGACGCUCAUGCACGAAAGCGUGGGGAGCGAACAGG
rnacentral:rRNA from 1 species